UACGUAGGGUGCGAGCGUUGUCCGGAAUUAUUGGGCGUAAAGAGCUCGUAGGCGGUCUGUCGCGUCGGUCGUGAAAACUUGGGGCUUAACCCUGAGCUUGCGGUCGAUACGGGCAUGACUGGAGUUCGGUAGGGGAGACUGGAAUUCCUGGUGUAGCGGUGAAAUGCGCAGAUAUCAGGAGGAACACCGGUGGCGAAGGCGGCGUUCUGGACUGUUUCUGACACUGAAAAACGAAAGCCAGGGGAGCAAACGGG
rnacentral:rRNA from 1 species